ACGCUCGACACCUACGGGGGCAGCAGUGAGGGAUAUUGGUCAAUGGGGGGAACCCUGAACCAGCAACGCCGCGUGAGGGAUGACGGUCUUCGGAUUGUAAACCUCUGUCCUCUGUGAAGAUAAUGACGGUAGCAGAGGAGGAAGCUCCGGCUAACUACGUGCCUAGCACGCCGCGGUAAUCUGAGGCGGGCUGGACGAAGGC
rnacentral:rRNA from 1 species